CCCCUGAUCAUUAUGUCCAAGUUAAAUGAAAGGAGUCAUCGGCUGCGAUGGACUUAAAUGUGCUGCGCAGCAUGCUAAUAUCCAGCUUCCCAGUCAGCGUGAUUGUGGCAAUGUUCAUUUUGAGGCCUUUGGAUUCUUUUGCAGUAUGUCCAGAAAACUGGCUGUGUUGCUGUGCAGCAGUGUCUGGUGUACGCUGUGAAGCUGUGUGUUGAGCAAUGCCAGUUGCCCGUGAUCCCCAUGACAGCAAGAAGUGGGUGUGGUCUUUUGGAUGGGACCAAAUCAUUUGUGUGUACUCCUCUCCGAGGUUGCUCUUUCUUUGUGGAAGAAAUGUAUUCUAAACCUUCUUCCAUUGCUAGCAUGCUUUGGUUUAAGGUUUUGUGCGGUUGCUGGGCUGUGUUUGCUUUCUUAGAGGCAGAAACAGCUUGCCAAGGUGAGCUAGUGCUAAAGGCACUGAACUCUAGGAUUUUGCGCUGUUGCAACUGUCAGCCAGAGUGCUGUGUCUGAGAAUGACCACCCUGUCUCUGACUCAUCCAACUCAUACUUACCUGGCAGGGGAGAUACAAUGAUCAAGUAUGUUGUUCACCCAGGGCGAGGCUCAGCCAUUGCACUCCAGUUGUGCUGACCCCUGUGAAUUCCCCAAAUGUGGGAAUCUCAACUGCAUAAUUUCUAUUAGUGGGGGACUGCGUUCGCGCUCUCCCUUGAUCAUUAUGUCCAAGUUA